ensembl:lncRNA
GAUGGGGUGAGCCCUGCCGGGGCCAUAACGAGGCUCUCUUUCCAGCAUAACCUAGAACCAAUAAGGAAUGUCUAUUCCAGACUUUAAAGAGUACCACGUGAGCAUUCUCGAGGCACAGCAUGUCUACGUACAGCUCUCAUAACUUUAGCAAGGACACCUCCUGAGUUAACUACUGUUUUCUGGGAAUUUCCCAGAUUUCUCUGGAUUUCAACACGAGUGAUAUGACCCAGGAACAGUACUGUAUGAUACAGGACGAUAUGGCUGGAAAGGACAAAUUUUUCUAAUUCCACACAUGGUCCGCAUCUUGGCUAAUCGAGUGCAUCUCAGUUGCAGAGGAGCCAAAGUAGAAG